GUUGACAUUGGCACAAAUGUCAGCUCAAUGCAAAAGGAAAACCCCCUCUCAGCACCCUUCUAGAAUUAUUUCUCACUUUGAGAAUGCCCUGAGAGGGUGUGAGGAGCCCCAGGGGUCCACAGACCAUGCUUCUAGAAUGUCUGCUCUAGUGGACAGUAGUCUCGAAGACAGCCUAACCUGGGUCCAGCAGCCCUUGGUUUGAUAUCAACUGAAGCUGGUCACUGUUGCCUGUUACUAUUUUCCCAUGUUAAAAAGGCCAUUGUACACAGUUAUUUGUAUCAUAAUGCUUUAGGUAUUCUAAAAUGGAACAAUGUAUAAGUGAACCUUAAUUAGAAAGAAUUAAAGAUCCUAAAAUGCCACUUUCCUAAGGUAGUUUAGCAUUUAUGCUUUCUAUAUUCUUGGUGUUAAGUCAAUGUCAAGUAAUCACACCCACAGCUCAUAAAUUGUGACAAAAGGAGAGAAGUCUGAUACUUAUUUUAGUGUAUGUGUACGUCUGUGUGCCUGCUUCUCUGUGUACCACCUGUGUGCAGUGCCCAGGGAGGCCAGAAGAGGGCGCUGGAUCCCCAGGAACUGGAGUUAACUGUGAAUCACCUGAUGUGGGUGCUAGGAAUGGAGCCAAGGUCCUUCGCAGCUCCUUUUCUCUAGCCUGCUUCCCCCUUCUUGUGGAUUUUUCUCAGUGACCAUAUUGUGCUUGGCCCUGUUACUCUUAUUAAAUAUUAAAAACCUCCUAUUCACUGGUUAAGUCCUUUCUGGCCCUGACCACUCAACAGUCAAUGCCCAUUCUUAUUGAGAGGGUUUAACUUGGGCACACCUGUGCUCUAUUAUGCAAGGCUGCAGCACCUGAAGCUUGUUUCGGAGAAGGCUCGGGAAUUAUGAACCUCACAUCCAGAUCUUUAGGGAGUUUUCUGUGUAUAUAGUCAUGAAAACGAAGACUCUCCAUCAAUGGUAGUUCAGAGUUGGAAGAACUUAACCAUAUGUUUCUUUUGUUUCUUUUUUUUUUUUUUUUGACGGGGGAGAAGGGUGUCUGGGUCUCACCAUGUAGCUCUGGCUAUAUAUGACUAACUAUAUAGCCCAGGAUGGCAUCAAACCCAUAGGGAUCUGCCUGCUUCUGCCUCCUCAGUGCUGGGAUGAAAGGUGUGUGUCAUCAUGCUGAGCAUAUGCUCUAUCUUUAGCGCUCAUCCCUGUGACAUGCUUGCAAACACACAUUACACAUAGUGCCUGGUGGGCAAUGACUACUGGGAAUCUGAAUGUUGCUCAUCCGCCCUCCCCCCUCUGCAAAUAAAAACUCAUCACAUUGUAUAUGGCAGAGAGCUGGGAGAUGGCCCCGAUGCUCCCUGCUUCCUGGUAUUUGCAACAUUACAGUCGCCUUUCCUCAAGUGUGAAUGAGCUCUGUGGCAUGCUUCUAAGGAAUUGGUUCAGGAAAAAGUGUCGGGAUGUGAUUUGUGAUUGUGUUUUAUGGAAUUGUACUCUAUCGUGCUGGAUGAUUUAACUGCUAACUGGGCUUGGAUGCUUUGAAGAUGCCAAAUCCCAGCACUUGGGAGGCAGAGGCAGGAGGAUAUCUGUGAGUUCGAGGCCAGCCUUGUCUACAAAGCAAGUUCCAGGUCAGCCAAAGACACAGAAAAAUCCUGUCUCAAAACCCCUCCUCCCAUGCCCCGCGCAUACACAGAAAAAGUCUCCAGUGAGAGAACUCAGGACAGACAACCUAUGAUAGACAGAUGGGGGGGGGGGGGAUGGAGGUUCUGAUCUCACAGCCGAUGAAGAGCUGAUUCUGCCUGGAGAAGCUGACUGAGCCCAGAGACAGAGCUUGUCCUAGGUGAGCCUUCUUAGGAGCUCCUAACAAGACACCUUGAAACCGGAGAACCCAGAUAGGUCUGAGAUAAUAUACGUGGCUGUUGUGAGCUACUAAGUUUUGGGGUAAUUAUGGAAGUUUGGUUAUGCAGAUAUAGACAAUGAAUAUACUUUAUAUAUAUAUACAUUAUAUUUGUCUGUCUCUCUAGCAGGACCAGAAAUGAGCUGUUCAAAGUAUCCUGGUUCUUGUUCCAUGUGUUUAAAUAUUUACCUAUCAUUGGGGGAGUGCCUCCCAGACCAACUUGGGGUUAGCUCGAGAAAUGCACUCAGCACUGCCUCAAUUCCUGGGCUCAGCAUCAUUUAGUUUAUAUGCCAGAGACAGCACGACAGUCAAUUACUCCUUGGAGUUUGAAACGCCAGGCUGGUCUGGAGAAGGUGUUCAUUAUUUCCAAAGGUGGAAGCGCAGAAAACUAGUUCACCAGCAGAAGUGUAAAAUGCUUACAAGCUCCAGGUGGGAAAUUUGCGCUCCCGAGAGCUGGCUCUGCGUGCUAAAUCAACUAAUGAGGACGUGAGAAUACCUGUUUCUAGAGGGGGCUGCUGGAUUGAAUGAGAAAUCGCGCGAGCCGCUCAGCAUACUACUCUGAGCAGAGUGAGCCAGGCCGUUAGGAUUUCUCGGUGGGGUCUCAGGUCUCGAACAGCCUGGGGCCACCCAGGGGCGGAGCGCAGCGGGGACCCAGCCGAGGUCUGCCCCGCCCACGCGGGGCCGAAGCCCGUCGAAUGACUCGGUGCAACGUGUUGGUGGCGGCUGCUGCUGCUGCGGCGGCGGCGGCGGCGGCGGCGGCGGCGCGGGUUCUUCCGGGCUCUGCAGCUUCCUGCUGAGCACCGCGCAGCCGCCUCGGCCGCCGGAGCCCCCGGCGCAGGCCUCCGGGGUGCAAGCCUCCGGGGCGCAGAAUUCCUGGGUGCAAGCCUCCCGGGCUCAGGCUUCCGGGACUCAGACCUCCGCACCGUGCGCACAGCGCACCAUGAGCGCCCUGUCGCCGCCGCCGCCGCUGCUGUCGCCGCUACUGGUGCUGCUGCUCUCUCUCCUGGCUGCGCCCGCCGUCCUCGCUCGCACAGCCGAGUCCGCCUCGGCCUCACAGCCCGAAGCGGAGCACCAGCUUCCGCCUAGCCUGGGGAAUGCCACCCGGCUGGGACCUGGCGUGACGGGCGGGGGCGGCUCCAACAGCAGCGGCAACGCCGUGGUGACCCGUAUCUCCAGCCUGCUUCGCGACCUGCCCACCCUGAAGGCGGCGGUGAUCGUGGCGUGCGCCUUCAGCGCGCUGCUCAUCGCCUGCCUGCUGCUGCGCGUCUUCAGGUUGGGAAAGAGGUUAAAGAAGACCCGCAAGUAUGACAUCAUCACCACUCCUGCUGAGCGUGUGGAGAUGGCCCCACUGAAUGAGGAGGACGAUGAGGAUGAGGACGCCACAGUAUUCGACAUCAAGUAUAGAUGGCUCUAGCUUGUGUUAAGGUGACGGAAAACCAGCUAGCACCGUUGCUUUUGCCUGUGGCAGAGCUUCCUGUAGACGUCCAGGACUGUUGCCAGGCCCUGCCCUGCCUCUCUUUGUGUCCUGAAGAACUGACCUUCGGAGAGCUCCCCCAUGGACACUCCUGCUGUUUGUGGUUGAAGUGAAAUGAUGUUGUGGAUGACCUUGGAGGUGAAUCAGUCAGACACAAGGCCGCGCCAGGCCGGAGAAGACUGACAGCUGGGAGGCUAAGUAGCUUUUCCUCAUGUCCAGGUUUAUGGGAACUACAGCCGAGAAGUGGGGGAAAUGGAUUGGCUGUCAUCUCACUACUUAGCAGUAGCCACUAGAGUGUGUGUAAAGAUUUUCGGGCGUGUCAGCAUCCUGGGGGACGUUGGUCAACUGCAGCCUGGGAUAUGAAGGUCUGGGCACCGGCUCUCACCUGAGGUGUUGAAACCGAAACCAAUGUUACUUAUGAAACUCUGACUCCACUCUGUGUGUCCAGCGUCUACUUGGAACGUCACCAACAAGCUUGUCCCCAGUCGCCAGAUGAGAGUCACCUCGGCCACCCUUGGAUGCCCCUUUGAGAUGCCCUUUGCACUCCUUCCUUGAGGGGUUUUCCACCUUCCUAAGAGGCAAAGAUGGGAAUAUUGAUUUCUAAGAAUCUUUCUAGAACAACUAUAGAUAACAGUAAAGCUACAAUUAGGAGGAGCAAUAAUUUUAAAAAGCUGGGAAGAUACCUUAGCUCAUAGCCUGAUUACCUUAGAAGCAGGGGAUACAAGUUUUGUCCCUGGAGCUCACAUAAAACAGAACUAGCAUGAGGGCCCACACCUCUAAUCCAGUCUAGGGCAAAGAGGUGAAGGCCUGGGGUUGACUGCUCAGCCAACCUAACCUUGUGAGUGAGUUCCGGUGACGACACCUGGUCCCAGACACGGUGGAUGACUCCAGAGGAACAAUGCCCAAGGUUCAUUUCUGGCCCCUACACACAUGUUCACCAACACACAGCACACAUACACACACCCUCAAAAGCCGGAAGGGCCUUCAGAUGUACCUAGGAGAAUCCUGGCAUUUUGUUAUUCCAGAUCUUUCCGUCACCAUCAGGUCUGGCUUUAUUUGGGGGACAGCUAUGUGACAUUUCAGAGUGAACAUACAAGCUCCCCACCCAACUCCACUCCACCCCUUCCAAGAGGUUCGGCAUAAAUAGGAAUGGCUACUACACAAAUUUCAAAUUUUCAGGGAUCAGACCACAUGAGAGUGUGUGUGUGUGUGUGUGUGUGUGUGUGUGUGUAUGGGUAUGGGUAUGGGUGUAUGGUGUGUAUACCUGUCUCUCUCUUCAUGGGGAUGUAAAGUGCCAGGUAGCUUUUAGUGAUUGUGUGUGUGUGUGUGUGUGUGUGUGUGUGCUGUAAAAACGUUUCUCUCUCCUGCCUCAGUGUUGUGUUGUUUGUCUUAGGAAUAUAAUGCUAAGAAGAAAUCACUGUGGUAAUUUAAAUAAAUGAUACUUUGGUUGGCUGGAAAAGGAAGAAAAAAGGGACACUGUCAGGAACUCUGUUGGCAGCCCGUCCAGGCUAGGUUGCACUAGACUAGACUAGAAGCUCUCCUGGGCCCACUGCACCUAGCCUGGGAGCUGGGUACCCAGAGAUGCCUGGAGGAAACAGGUCCUGGACUAACUGCUCAGGUUAACGGAGGUCUCCCGCUUGGUCUUCUCCCACAUUGCUGUAGCUCGGAUGCUGUGCAAAUCUCGUAGCAGUGCCUUUGGGACCCCGGGAGUGUAGUAUGUCUGGAAAGUAUGGCUGCUGUUAUUGCCUUGUUUCCAUUCUGUCUUGGUUCUUGAGUUUGUGUACUUGUCUGUUUGAUGCCCUGCUCCAUUGCUUUGGGUAAAAUCCCCUACCAUGGCCAGCUCCACCCCACCAUCAGACUCUCCAGUCCCUGGCUGGGGCUGUGGUGGUGGCAGUAGGUAGAGAGAGCCACCUUGGCUCUGGAGCCUGGCUGGGCAUGGGUGCUUUGCAAUCCUAACCCAUCACGGAGUGGCCUGUUCUUCUGGGCUCCCUUAAUCUCUGCUUCUCAGUUGGUUUCUCUCACCCUCCUGCCCUGCUAGUCAGAGGGGUGGGGCUUGAAGCAGAGCAGGUGGCUCGCUUUCCUCACUGUGUAGUCACAGCACAGAGGUGAUUCUAGGACAUUGGCCAUCUUCAAGCUGUGUGCCCUGCCCUCUCAGCCUUGGUGCUGGGACUGUCACCUCCCAUUCAGGUGUCCCGGGACUACAGGUGACCACCUAGAGAAGCUGGAUUCUCCUGCCUUAUGUGUGAACACCAUGGAUCCGGCUGCCAGUCCCUCAUCGCUGACUCUGGCAAGAAUAGCAGGACGGUGACCUUACAAAUCCUUGAUGAAACUUCAACACCGCAGGCACUUAAAUAAAGAUCCUUAAAACAAACAAGAAUCAUCA